rnacentral:lncRNA from 1 species
CAGCCCCAGGUAGGCCCUCAGAGGCCCAGGUGGGGAGGAGUCUGCUAACUGGAGGACCAGGGCAGCUCCCCACCCACGCACACACCUCCUGGGCGUGGGCUGCCCAGCCUGCCCCUCCCGGGGCCUCCCACUCCAGCCAGGCUCAAAACGCUCCUCAAAAGCGCCAGCACAUGCCAGCCUCCAGGCCCCGACCGGGCAGUGCCCUCUGCUGGAACGCCGGAGGUCUGGCCGGGGCCGUCGGUGGCUUAGGAUGAAUGUUCCCAGGCUUCAGCCCCCUUCGCCCACGGCCUGUUUCCUCCCGGACGAACUGAGCGAACAACCCCGAACAUCUAUUGAGCGCCGGUUGCAUGCUGAGCGUUCAACCUGCUUCCUCAAAGUUCGUCCUCCCAACAGCCCACAAUGAGUGGGUAAACUGAGGUCUCAGUCUUCACAUCUGACAAAUGGGUGCGCCGUACCCAAGCUAGAGGGGAGCUUUUGUGCACCAGAGCUGGUCCCUUCCCUGCGCCCCGGUGGCCUCAGAAUAAAGUCAGACACCCCCUCCACCCUCACCUCCCUUCACUCUCUCGCUCAAUCACUCCGGUCCAGCCACAGGCAUCCCUGCUGGUCCUCACACAGAACAACACACCCAUCUCAGGACCUUUGCACGUGCUGGUCCCUCUUCCUGAACCGCCUCCCCUCAGCUCUUCCUCCUGACUGGCUCCGGAGGUCUCAGCUCAAAUGCCACCACCCUGGCCAAAGUAGCCUCCCCUCCCCCCAGUUUCAAAUCCAUGAGAGGAAAAAGGAUGUAGGGUUAACUGGAUAGUCAUACAAAAAAGUGUAAAAUCAGGUCUGUACCUCACCGGGUG